UACGUAGGGUGCAAGCGUUGUCCGGAAUUAUUGGGCGUAAAGAGCUCGUAGGCGGUUUGUCGCGUCGAAUGUGAAAACCCGGGGCUCAACCCCGGGCCUGCAUUCGAUACGGGCAGACUAGAGUUCGGUAGGGGAGUCUGGAAUUCCUGGUGUAGCGGUGAAAUGCGCAGAUAUCAGGAGGAACACCGGUGGCGAAGGCGGGACUCUGGGCCGAUACUGACGCUGAGGCGCGAAAGCAUGGGGAGCGAACAGG
rnacentral:rRNA from 1 species